CCUGCCCUCUCCUGCUCCCAGCCGUGACUCACCCCGGGCCCGAGGCUCCCGCGGACUCCCGCGGCCGUGUCUCUUCCCGGCGUCCAGCCGAGCUCGAAAAACCGGUGCGACUUCUUCAGAAGGCGGUCACAGCCGACCCUCCCCUCUGCGGCCCUAGAAGGUGAAUUGCGUUUGGGCAAGGAUGAGAAACCGGAAUCAGAAUGACCACUGGAAGAGUGACUUUCUACGUAAAUGGACUUGUGCGUUUCUGUGGCCUUGGGGGCACAAGUGACCAUGUGUGGUUUCUCUGAUGACCUCAGCAGUAGGUUGUAGGAAGGAUCGUCUGUCUAAAAAUAUGGCCAAAGCUUGGCAUUUCCUUGGGGUUGCAGUUUCCACACCUGGUGAUAGUUCUCCAAGUCAACCAACCAUGGUCGUCUAACGAGGAAUCGAGGCAACUGCGGAACCUUUAAUAAAUUUAACUGACAUAAAUGA